rnacentral:RNase_P_RNA from 2 species
GGCAGGCAUCGGAUAGCUACUCCGACUCAGGUCGGAGAGGAAAGUCCGAACACGUAGUCCCGCUUUGGUGGGAUUACACGUAGCGGGUAACGCCCGUCGUCCGCAAGGACCGAGGUGCGAACAGUGACGAACCGAUUCAGUUCGGGUGAAACGGCAAGAUCCUUACGCGCGUGCAAGAUCGUGCUCCGACCCAGGUCGGAGAGAAUCGCUUGAGUCCCUCAGCAAUGAGGGACCUAGACAAAUGGCUAUCGCUCCGACUUUGGUCGGAGCACGGAAUUCGGCUUAUAGAUGCCUGCAUAAA